rnacentral:tRNA from 1 species
GGGCGAAUAGCUCAGUGGUAGAGCGCCUCGCUUACACCGAGGAUGUCGCAGGUUCGAAUCCUGCUUCGCCCA